rnacentral:rRNA from 1 species
AGGGCACCACCAGGAGUGGAGCCUGCGGCUUAAUUUGACUCAGCACGGGGAAACUUACCCGGCCGGGACACUGGAAGGAUUGACAGAUUGAGAGCUCUUUCUUGAUUUAGUGGGUGGUGGUGCAUGGCCGUUCUUAGUUGGUGGAGCGAUUUGUCUGGUUAAUUCCGAUAACGAACGAGACUCUAGCCUAUUAAAUAGGCUCUCGGCUUUUAAACGCCGGGAGGACUUCUUAGAGGGACAGGUGGCGGUUCAGCCGCACGAAAGAGAGCAAUAACAGGUCUGUGAUGCCCUUUGUUGUCCGGGGCCGCACGCGCGCUACACUGAAGAGAUCAGCGUGCUUUACGUUCCUGCUCCGACCGGAGUGGGGAACCCAGUGAACCUUCUUCGUGAUUGGGAUAGAAGAUUGUAAUUAUUCUUCUUGAACGAGGAACUCCCAGUAAAUGCGAGUCAUAAGCUCGCGUUGAUUACGUCCCUGCCCUUUGUACACACCGCCCGUCGCUACUACCGAUUGAACGAUUU